AUACGGAGGAUGCGAGCGUUAUCCGGAUUUAUUGGGUUUAAAGGGUGCGCAGGCGGGAUCUUAAGUCAGUGGUGAAAUCUAGAGGCUCAACCUCUAAACUGCCAUUGAAACUGGGAUUCUUGAGUAUGGAUGAAGUAGGCGGAACUCGUUGUGUAGCGGUGAAAUGCAUAGAUAUAACGAAGAACCCCGAUUGCGUAGGCAGCUUACUAAACCAUAACUGACGCUCAAGCACGAAAGCGUGGGUAUCAAACAGGAUUAGAUACCCUGGUAGUCCACGCCGUAAACUAUGAUUACUAGUUGUAUGCGAUAUGAUAGUAUGUGACUAAGCGAAAGCGAUAAGUAAUCCACCUGGGGAGUACGCCGGCAACGGUGAA
rnacentral:rRNA from 1 species